GCGCCUGUAGCUCAGUGGAUAGAGCAACGGACUUCUAAUCCGUUGGCCGCGCGUUCGACUCGCGCCAGGCGUACCA
rnacentral:tRNA from 1 species